rfam:Dipodomys ordii contig_17131, whole genome shotgun sequence.
GGGAAUGUGGCUUAGUGGUAGAGUGCUUGCCUAGCAUGUAUGAAGCCCUAGGUUCAACUCCUCAGUACCA